CGGCGGACGGGUGAGUAACGCGUGGGUAACCGUGCCUCAUACAGGGGGAUAACAGUUGGAAACGGACUGCUAAUACCGCAUAAGCGCACAGUACCGCAUGGUACGGUGUGAAAAAACUACCGGUGGUAUGAGAUGGACCCGCGUCUGAUUAGGUAGUUGGUGGGGUAACGGCCUACCAAGCCGACGAUCAGUAGCCGACCUGAGAGGGUAACCGGCCACAUUGGGACUGAGACACGGCCCAA
rnacentral:rRNA from 1 species